UUUUUGUGUCGUUAACAUAAUCGAAAUUUCAAGUUUUUAGUUGCACUUUGUUUUAAAAAUGGCUUUUGUACUUAGGAUACACCCUAUUUCGGAGCGAGCGGGAAUUUUGUCCUCCAACAGUGGAUCGAAGUGUGUUGAGAAAUGUGGACAACCCAUUUAAUUUAGGACCAACGGAGUUCAAGAAAUUGUAUUGCUUAAGUCCAAACUUGGCAGAUGACCUAGUUUGGCAGCUUGAUGGGCAUCUAAGAGGUUCAAGAGUAACCGCAAUAAAGACGGAAAAACAGGUUCUAGCGGUCCUACGAUUUUUUGCGACAGCAUGCUUCCAACGGCCCGUAAGAACAGUGGGGAAUAUCGAUGAGCCAGUCAUCGAUAAGCCGGUCCAUACACCGCGUGACGGAUGCUAGUUAUCAUAAUAUGUUCUGCUCCAAGGUACGAUUUCCAAUGACGCAAGCGGAGCGGCAAGCCGCAAAGGAAAUUUUCGCUUCCGCCUCCUCACCUUUCGUUGCAGGUUCUAUUGGGGCUAUCGACUGCUCUCAUAUCGCUAUUUUGAGCCCGAAGAACCAUGAGGAGGCUUAUGUAAACCACCAUGGUUACCACUCAAUAAAUGUACAAAUGAUAUCCGGGAGCACGUCACGACUCAUUUAUUUGGACCUCAUCUGCAGUACGAAGAGUAAUGCAACGACCAGUCGAAAAUGGUCACCAUAAUAUGUUUUUAAUAGGUAAUAGUGGAGAGGUUAUUUGUUGUCCUUAAAGCAACUUGGCGAUGUCUAUCACGGCAAAGGAUUCUUUUAUAUGAUCCAGGAUUUGCUAGAAGAAUAGUCAGUGCGUGCGCUGUACUGCACAACAUUCGUUUGGACGAGCAAACGAACGAGUUCAAUGAUGUUUUUUCGGACACCGAUGGUUUCUUUUCAGAGCCUUCAGCGGAAAACAUUUGGGUAAAUCUGGAUACCCCAUCCUCAAUAGCAAAACGCGUACAGGACCGACUGAUCGCUAAUUUUUUUACCUAAGCCAAAUAUUCAAAUGGUAUCUACCUGUAAAAACUUCCAAUGGAAUAAUAAGAAUAGUUUCAUGUAAAUAUAGCGUUUUAUUAUUUUAAAAUUCAGUCUUACUUUUAAUUAAAUUUUCUUUAGGUACAUACAUACAUAUAUUUGAAUUUGAGAUCAGCCUCAAUAUGUAUACAGAAUAC